rnacentral:rRNA from 1 species
GACGAACGCUGGCGGCGUGCUUAACACAUGCAAGUCGAACGGAAAGGCCCUGCUUUUGUGGGGUGCUCGAGUGGCGAACGGGUGAGUAACACGUGAGUAACCUGCCCUUGACUUUGGGAUAACUUCAGGAAACUGGGGAUAAUACCGGAUAGGAGCUCCUGCUGCAUGGUGGGGGUUGGAAAGUUUCGGCGGUUGGGGAUGGACUCGCGGGUUAUCAGCUUGUUGGUGGGGUAGUGGCUUACCAAGGCUUUGACGGGUAGCCGGACUGAGAGGGGGAACGAGGACAAUGGGACUGAGAGAGGGCCCAGUGUCGAACAGGGGGCAGCGGGGGAGAGUAUGACACAGUGGUCGGGAGUCUGAUGCGGCGGCGCCGGGUGCGUGAUGACAGUCAAGGUGUGGGGAAGCGCAGUAACCUAUGACGAUGCGUUAGUGACGUUAAUAAGUGAAGAAGCACCGGCUAACUACGUG